UACCCUGCUGAAUGGAGACGGUAAGGGUGCUCCGAUUGAUCGGUCACUGAUCGUUAUCGGCCGAUAAAGGCUUUAAAUAGUUUGAUCGGUGGUCUCCAUAAAGGCCGAUCAGAUGGACCGAUGAGAGGCAUGACUCAGUACCAUGGAUGUAUU